CAUAGAGAUAGCAGAACUAGAAUUCCACUCAGCCACAAAAAGGGAGCUUCAGCAGAUAUUCUCAGCAUCACCUGAGCCACCACAGAGCCUGGUAUACAGUAGGUCAAAUCUGUAUUGAGGUGAACACUUGUGGAGACCUAUCUGUAAUCCACUGAGGACAGUACAAAAUCACGAAUGUAUUUCAUGUCUUUAUCUUAUUGAAUGAGAGAAAUACUGAACAGGACGUGCCUUAUUGACAUUUGGACAGCAAGGACCAAGACAACAAAAGACAUCCAUAGAGGGACAGAGUAUAACACUACGAUGAAAAUGUGGACCAGAAAUAUCCCUGACAAACACACCUUGCUGAAACAGAAUGAAGGCAGCUGUAACCUGUGAUAUAAAUCUGCAGCAUCACACAAACUGGACCACAGCCUAGAUGUCAAAAAACAAUUAAAGCAACUCCAGGAGAGUUCUGAGAGGCAUGAACUAUAAAAGGAAAUAGAUAGAAGAUGGGAACUAACAACUUAUGAGUCUCCCUCUAGCAGCCUCUGCCACAUCCCUAAUAGCCUCUGUCCUACCCCAGAAGCCCUUGUCCUGAAGGAAUUGAAGAAGUCCUGGGUGUUGUUCUCAUGAGCAUGCAGUUUGAGUCUGGGGAGUAGCAAGUUCCUCAUUGAUAAGAAGAUCCUCCAGGUGUUUCAUUUUCCCUAAAGUCAGAACACAGCAGGAACUUUCCAUACCUGAAGGCAGGACUGGUUGCUUUAAGGAAGGGCAGAAUUAUGGCAGCCUCAGCUUGGGAGAAGCAAGGAGAUCUUUACCAUACUAUCCGAGAGGAAUCUCCUUACAUAUAUAGUCCCUGGGAGAAGAGCUUCCUUUCAGAAACAUGUACUAACACAGCUGUGUUCUCCAAUUCUGGCACUUCAUCUCCAUUUUAGUUGAAUCUCAAAUUCCUUUGAAUUAGUAACCGGACUUUCAAACUCAAGUCCUUUUAAUAAUAAUUUAAAUAAUGACUUUC